AACUGCCGGCUCAUACACUCAACCGUUGGCAUUAAGUGGCAUUUCCCCAACAAAUCAGUCUCAAUCUCUUUCACUUGGCAAGAAAGAAACAAAAACCCAAAGCAAUAGCUUUGGUUUUGUAGGUUGUCUUCCAUAUGAGUCAGCUUCUGAUUCUUGAAAUCUUGGGAAUUUAUAUGACAUCUUGGAGAUUUCUCAACUGGGUAUCUGUUAUCUUUCUGGGUCUUGCGUUCUUGUACUAUUCUUACACAAACCCGUCUUCUUCGGUGUAUCCUAAGAGCGGUAACAUGGCGGAGGAAUCGCCCCAGUCCUUGCACGACUUCACUGUCAAGGAUAUUCGUGGGAAUGAUGUCAGCAUGAAUGACUACAAAGGGAAGGUUCUUCUGAUAGUGAAUGUUGCUUCAAAAUGUGGUCUCACCCACUCGAACUACAAGGAAUUGAACAUUUUGUAUGAGAAAUACAAGGAUCAAGGACUUGAAAUACUUGGAUUUCCUUGCAACCAGUUCGCUGGGCAAGAACCCGGGAGCAAUGAGGAGAUCCAGGAGACUGCUUGCACUAUGUUUAAGGCUGAAUUCCCAAUCUUUGAUAAGGUUGAGGUGAAUGGGAAUAAUGCAGCUCCUAUUUACAAGUACCUGAAGGCACAGAAAGGAGGAUUAUUUGGAGACUUCAUCAAAUGGAACUUCACGAAGUUUCUUGUUGGCAGAGACGGGAAGGUCGUGGCUAGAUAUGCUCCCACCACGUCUCCUCUUAAGAUUGAGAAAGACAUACAGAACCUGCUGGCCUCUUGAGAUAUAAGGUUCUUUUUUCCUCUGAAACACUCUGGUUCUAUUAACUGGUACUACGUCGACUUAAACAAAGGAAAUGGAACUAUGGGUUCGGAAGGAGUUGCUCCCUCUAGUCCUGUUAAUGGUGUCAACAGAAAAUAAGAAUUCUUAGAUAUUAUACACUGUUAGAGCAACCGAUCAUACUGUUCUUAAUCGAUGUGGGAAUCGCAUUUCAAUUUUAUAUUUCCUUUGGUAUGAUGACUCCUACAGCCAGAUGAAUCCUGCAUUUGAAUUUUAUGUUUCCUCUCUUAUUGUGGCA